rnacentral:rRNA from 1 species
UACGGGAGGCAGCAGUGGGGGAUAUUGCACAAUGGAGGAAACUCUGAUGCAGCGACGCCGCGUGAGUGAAGAAGUAUUUCGGUAUGUAAAGCUCUAUCAGCAGGGAAGAUAAUGACAGUACCUGACCAAGAAGCCCCGGCUAACUACGUGCCAGCAGCCGCGGUAAU